rnacentral:rRNA from 1 species
AGUGAACGCUGGCGGUAGGCCUAACACAUGCAAGUCGAACGGCAGCACAGUAAGAGCUUGCUCUUACGGGGGGCGAGUGGCGUACGGGUGACGAAUACAUCGGAAUCUAGUCUUUCGGGGGGGAUAACGUAGGUGAACUUACGCUAAUAUCGCAUACGAUCUACGGGGGAAAGCAGUGGAUCUUCGGACCUUUCGCGGUUGAAUUAGCCGAUGUCGGAGUUGUUAGUUGGCGGGUUAAUGGCCCACCAAGUCGACGAUCCGUAGCUUGUGUGAGAGGAUGGUAAGCCACAUUGGAACGGAGACAGGCACAAUGGUACUAAGGGAGGCAGCAGUGGGGAAUAGUGGACAAUGGGCGGAAGCAUGAUCCAGCCAUACCGAGUGGGUGAAGAAGGCCUUCGGGUUGUAAAGACCUCUUGUUGGGAAAGAAAAGCAGCAGGUUAAUACCCCGCUGUUCUGACGGUACCCAAAGAAUAAGCACCGGCUAACUUCGUG